GCCACCGUAGCUCAGUCGGAAGAGCAUCCGCCUCGUAAGCGGACGGUCACGGGUUCAAGUCCCGUCGGUGGCU
rnacentral:tRNA from 1 species